rnacentral:rRNA from 1 species
GAUGAACGCUAGCGGCAGGCCUAACACAUGCAAGUCGAGGGGUAGCAGGAUUAAGCUUGCUUAAUUGCUGACGACCGGCGCACGGGUGCGUAACGCGUGUGCAACCUACCUUAUACUGGGGUAUAGCCCGGAGAAAUUCGGAUUAAUCCCCCAUAGUACUAAUGAAUCGCAUGGUUUAUUAGUUAAAGCAUUGCGGUAUAAGAUGGGCAUGCGUCCUAUUAGCUAGAUGGUGAGGUAACGGCUCACCAUGGCCACGAUAGGUAGGGGGGCUGAGAGGGUGGUCCCCCACACUGGUACUGAGACACGGACCAGACUCCUACGGGAGGCAGCAGUGAGGAAUAUUGGUCAAUGGGCGCAAGCCUGAACCAGCCAUGCCGCGUGCAGGAAGAAUGCCCUAUGGGUUGUAAACUGCUUUUAUUUGGGAAUAAACCUCUUUACGUGUAGAGAGCUGAAGGUACCAAAUGAAUAAGCACCGGCUAACUCCGUGCCAGCCGCCGCCGUAA